rnacentral:rRNA from 1 species
GCGAGAAACCUUUACAAUGUGCGAAAGCAUGAUAAGGGAACUCCGAGUGCCAGUAUCUAAUACUGGCUGUCCUUGUGCCUAAAACGCACAAGAUAGCAAGGGCCGGAUAAGACCGGUGCCAGCCGCCGCGGUAACACCGGCGGCCCGAGUGGUAGCCGCUAUUAUUGGGUCUAAAGGGUCCGUAGCCGGUUCGAUAAGUCCUCUGGGAAAUCUGGUUGCUUAACAAUCAGACUGCCAGGGGAUACUGUCGAACUUGAGACCGGGAGAGGUAAGAGGUACUUCAGGGGUAGGA